UACAUGCAAUGAAUAUAAAAUUUGAAGAAUUAUUCUUUUAUUAUUAUAAAAUAGAACAAAGAUGCGGAACGUAUGAGAGAGAAACAACUUAAGAAACAACAAGAACAACAAGAAAAAUUUAAACAAGAUCUGUGAAGGAGGUUCCAUAUACAUGAACAAAUAUUCUACCUGUAAAAUCUGACUGGCCUCGAAGGCUGUUCC